GUUGCUUCUUACUUGUGAACUCUCUCUGUUUUUUUUUGACAAAACAAGAAAUGGGGGAUGUUCAUGUUUCUGAAGCAUAGAUGUAUCGUUUGCCAGCAUUAAACAGCUCGGUGCAUCGCACAAAUAUGUUUUGUUGCACUGUGCUACCUGUCUUCUGGUAAAUUU